rnacentral:ncRNA from 1 species
CGCACAAGUCUCGCACCCUCUCGGGGUCACAUUCCCAAGAGGGUGCGAGACUUGUGCGGAUAGCGGAGCAAAGCGAUCUCGCACCCUCUCGGGGUCACAUUCCCAAGAGGGUGCGAGACCUGUGCGGAUAGUGAAGCAAGCUGAACGAUCAUACCUUGGAGUCGGGUUUCUCGAAAGUGCAGCCUAAAGUGGUGAUAAACUUCAUCUAAGGCUAAGUAUAGACGCGAAUUCGAUAGCCAACAAGUACUGUGAAG